rnacentral:lncRNA from 1 species
GUUCGCGUGGUCUUGUUACGCCUCGCUGGAUCGUGUUCAGUCAUGCCGUCCUUGCGCGGCGUGAUUGUCGUGCGGCUGGCGUGAGCUGUCUCCACGAUGCGCUUCGAGCGUGUCGAUUUCGCCGUUCUUUAUGUUGGCGUUAACGACCUUGAAAGCAACAUGGAUCCACAAGAAAUGUGCGACAACAUCAAGGUAAGUCUACUGAAAUCACAAAAUUUGAAACAAUAAGCGCUAAUAGUUGUGUUUUCUUUUAAAUUUUAGGCCUUGAUUGUUCAACGAGACGGCCCCCGUCGUGCUGGUUUUCAAGGUGCUCCCUCGCUGCCUAGAUGCUGAUGCGGAAUAGAAAAUGCAAGAACGUCGCUUGCUCAACCGCAAAUUGACGGUUACGCUGAAGCGCAUGUCGUGUCUGCGGAAUUUGAACCCCGAGCUUUCCAGAGUUCCUUGGAAAAUCCCCCCAUGCACCUGCCAUGUACAUUGCCCUCCUCCUCGAUGUGGUGUGCAAGAUGGCAGCAGCAGCUGUGGGAACCGUUGAAGAGGCGAAGAAAGGUCCACUUUAUAAUAGGUUGUAUGUAAAUAAAACUGAUCGACCUCAA